GAUGAACGCUAGCUACAGGCUUAACACAUGCAAGUCGAGGGGCAGCAUUAUCGAAGCUUGCUUUGAUAGAUGGCGACCGGCGCACGGGUGAGUAACGCGUAUCCAACCUUCCCCAUAGUCAGGAAUAGCCCGGCGAAAGUCGAAUUAAUGCCUGAUGUUUUCCACGGACGGCAUCUGAUGUGGAACAAAGAUUCAUCGCUAUGGGAUGGGGAUGCGUCUGAUUAGCUUGUUGGCGGGGUAACGGCCCACCAAGGCAACGAUCAGUAGGGGUUCUGAGAGGAAGGUCCCCCCACAUUGGAACUGAGACACGGUCCAAACUCCUACGGGAGGCAGCAGUGAGGAAUAUUGGGUCAAUGGGCGAAGCCUGAACCAGCCAAGUAGCGUGAGGGAUGACUGCCCUAUGGGGUUGUAAACCCUCUUUUUAANAAGGGAAUAAAAUACGGGACGUGUCCUGUUUGCAUGUACCUUAUGAAUAAGGACCGGCUAAUUCCGUGCCAGCAGCCG
rnacentral:rRNA from 1 species